CUCGCUCACCCGCCUGACGGCAUUUUGUCACCGCUUCCCAGGACACGCUACUUCCUCACCCAGUCUGCGGUGUUUAUUCCUUGUCUGCCUAAUCCUCCUCUUAAAACGCCUUUUUUUUGCACCGCCAGGCUUCCUGAACGGCACUGGUUAUGUCACUCCGGGUAUGCCUUCGGCUAUCUAUUUCCUCGGGAAAUGCCACAUCACCUGGAAACUUUGUAUUUUCCCUGUCACAAAAUAAAGCUUACGGUAAUGAAUUUUUUACUUCUGUCAACUUCCUUAUGUCCUUGAGAGGCUCCAGCUGCAAAAUGGAGCCCAAAGACAGACUUCUCAAAAAGCGCAGAUUAACUGGCUCCACGGGCUCCCACAGCCAGGGGGAUGUGACUAUCACAGGCACGCUGCACAGGAAAGGCUGUGCCAAAGUUAUGGAACUCGAAGAGUUCAGCAGUGACUGUAUUCACAUCUAGACAUUUACUUUUCUUUUGUCCCACAGUGUGGCAUAACCUGAAUUUGUAGCAGGCUACCGUGAACGCACAAAUAAGCAUGUCUGUGAAAAGUGGGAGCACUGAAGUCUGGUUUUCUGGCAUCCUGCCUGCCUGUGGACCCACGGAAAUCCCAUGAAACGGCGUGGGGAUUCAGCUCGUCCUGCAGCCUCUCCUCCAACCGAGGCACUAGCGGAGUCUCUUGCUUCAAGCCAGACGCCUCCUUUCUAGAAGCUCCCAGGACCUUAGCAAUGCUGAGGUCUUUAUCCCUCAGCUAGUUUGGCUGAAACUAGCCAACCACUUCAAAAGUUUCUGAGGGGAGAAGGAAUGACACGCAGGCAGACAGACACUCAUGCAGAUGGACAGUCACAGGCUAAAAAUGGGGGGAGAUAAAUCAUUUGUGUUGUGCGAAUUUGCUCUCAAUCACCUCACCGAUCUUUUCUCCUCCGCUUUACAAUCUCUGCUUUGCAGUCGCUGGCUGCUCACCCUUGAUGCACACUAAGACAAAUCUUACCAGCUUUUUUAGCCUCCUGGCAGUCAUUUGCCUAGGAAGAUUUCUCUCCUACCCCUCUUCCUGGUAAAUUCAUAUUACAGUAGCCACUGAGAAAAGCUGCGAAAAGUGACUGCUGAGUGUACCCAGGCUCCAUCUGUUGCUCUCAGCAAGUCCCAGGAAAGUAUUGACAGGCUUAAUUUGCUCCGAAAGACCGCUGAAAUCCGUGAGAUUCAUCUGAAGCAGCCUACGCCCUGCGAGUGUGCAAACCCAGGAAGCAUCCCAAGAGCCUUACUCGGGACCGUGUUCCACUAAGCACAGCCCCAGAGUCGCUGCGACAUGGCGAUGCUGAAAUCAGUGCAGGAAGCCCCAGGGGGCCACUGAGGGGACCCCGGUCAGCGGGAAGGGGACAGCUAGGUCAGCUUGGGCAGAGCUUCACCUCGGCUUGCCUACUCCCAGAUAGCUGCUUGGCCAAUGCGGUUUUCCAGGGUGUGGAUCUGGCCAAGCAUCUCAUGGACACACCGGUUUGGGCUGGGAUCGUGCCAUUGCUCUUUCUCCCCGAGGCAGAGGUGCUCUGGCAACGCCGGGGUAGCAAGAACCGACCCCACAGCGGGAGGCAGAGAAACAACCCCCAUUAGGUACCAGCUUUGCUUCCUAGGGCUUGUUAGUGCAGUUAAAACAUCGCGAGCGCAAAACAGACUGCAUGCCCAGAGUAUCGUACAAGACCUCCUCUAUCAGCCCAGUGCGAAUUUGCUGCUCUCAUGGGAAAAAUCAAAGGGCCCAGGGCAGCAGACAGGCUGUUAGCAAGCUACAGAAAUAGUGAGCGGCUGAUGUCUAGACUCAGGAAAGGAAAUUCCUGUCCGUGUUUAGAAGAGCCGCACACGUACACAUACAAAUAAAAAACAGGAAGGCAUGCGCUGCUGUAGUCUUUGAUAGCGGCCCAAGGGAAACGGUGUAAUUUGGUAGAAGAAGCAAACAAGGCAUCUACUUAGAUAUAACCUGUCAGGCCUACUAAGGAGGGUGCUUUGACAGACAAGUCUUAGAGAAACCAGAUCCGGCACAGCAGCACGGAACUCCCUCCACAACAAAUGGAGGGGACAAGGCCCUGGGAGAGACCCCAGACAUAUCAAACAGCUCAAUAUCUCUUAACGGGAGCCUAGAAAGCUGCAAGUUGUCAUAUCAGCUGAGAAAGAUGCAUAUUUGGAGCCGUUAUAGCUCCUAUCUUUCGGCCUGGGAGCCCAUCUGUGUUCUGAUACAUUAAUCUCCCUUUGAGAAGGGAACUGGGUGACAUGUGCAUACUCACAAGACCCUACAAAGUUCCUGGCCCAGACAUAUUUAUCACAUUAUAAAAGACCUGUAGAAGUGCCAGUUUUGGUGAGUACUAUGUAAUGUGGUUCCAACCACAGACUUUAUUUUUCCACCACCAUGAGGACAACAAUCUCUCUUAUCCAAAAUAAAUAAAUAAAUAAAUGAGAAGCGUCAAGCGGCUGCAAAUCAUACUGACCUGUUUCUUUAAUUAAUAGCAAUACAAGCUUUUUUUUUUGCUUCCCCCCAAGAUAUUUGCUACUAGACUGGAGGGCACCCUGCUCCAUUUAGGAAAGACCAGAACAGAUUCACAAAGACUUGCCAGGCCUCAGACAUUAUGUGAUCUGAAUGUAAUUUCUCCACCCAGUCAACAAACACUCUAUUUUUAUUAAUUUCAUAAGAGGCUAGUAGGGAGGGAGGGAAGGAGGGAGGAGGGAGGGGAGGAAAUGCCCUUUGACCAAGCAGAAUGCCAGAGCUCAGUGAAUUGUUACUAGCACAAUAUGCUAAAACUAAAGCUGGGCCAUGUCUUUUCAUUUCACAGCAAACCUAGCCUUAGGACUGGAAAACAAGAUUUCUGUUCCACUGGGCUGGCACAACAGCAUUAGACAAUUUAAGGCAGGAAGCGAAGAAGAAAUUACCAAUGAGAUGUCAGGGGAAUAUAAAGUAAAGCAUCUUUCUUUUGUAAAAGAAGAGAGUUGGGACAAUAACUCUGCCCUUGCACAUCACUAGGCUGUCUUCUGGCACACUCAAGCCAGGGCCAGCCAUUCUGGCUGGCCGGACCACCACGACAGCCCCCUCCCACAGACAAGCUCCAUGGGCAAGUAGGAGAGGGCAGCUGAGAGCACAGACUGGUGCCCACUGGGACCCUGGAUGCACAAAGUAUGGCCAGCACUCUUAGAAUGCCAUCACAGCAAUGCCUACAGCUCUUGGGCAAAAUUGGGAGAGUCUGAGUGGAUCCUAAGGAAAAAUAAAGGUCGGGAGAAAGAGGCUGCCGCCCUCAUGACAAUUCGUACUCUCCACAACCUGUUGCUCCACUGGCCCCAAGUAAAAGAGUGUCUGUGAGCAGACCAGGGGCUACUUAGCUUGGAACAGUGAGCUCUGUGCAUCCAAGCAGCCUUGUCGUAAGCAUUUCUCUUGUGCCUGGUGUCUCACCUUCUUCCCAGCUCCACAGCAGAGCCUCACUGCAAAUUUUUGAUAGAGGCCGGGAAUCAAUGCUUGCUCCUUAAAUGACCUUCCUUGGCCGAAGAACUGUAUAUCAUGGCUCUCCUUCCUUACCUUGCCCCCAGACAACUGCCUUUUUGGUCCACAUUUGAAAAUUUCCCAAGGACCCUGCAGUGUUCCCACCUUACCAGAAGAGACUGUGAAGAAGAUGAGUGUGCACGUCAUCCAGCCAUAUCCAUGGUAAUACAAGUUGUACUUAAUCUCAGUCUAUCCUGCCGUUUGCCUCCCACAUAAAAGAGGCUUUUUGCCUGAGCACUUGUUCAAGGCAAGUCUUUUGGUUCAGAGUGUGGGUCACUAAGUGAAAUGUCAUAGCCUACACUAUGCAGGAGAUGAUACUAAUGGAUCCAAUUGUCCCUUUUCACCUUAAAUUUGCUAGAUCCUGCACCUCUGGUUACAUCUAUAUGGGUCAAAGGAGAGAGAUUUCAGGUAGCUCAGCUACCCAAAUCCUCAUUAACAUGUCUCCUGAUUAAAACACCAUAGCAUUAUAUGUGCAUGACACAGAAGAUAAUCCACUUUCUGUAAAUGACAGUUGAUAUAGGACAAUAUAUUCCCCUUUUGUCUGGUCCCCCAAGCUUUCUCUCUGAGAGAUUCCUAUCUGAGAGCUAAUGCCACGGUUGCACUCUUCAGUGAUGAAGAGUUACACAAAAGGGAUUUCAAAUACCAUAAACCAUAAGCCAUAAACCACCUCCUUGGAACCAAUUCCUAGGAGCAGAAGGCUUACACUGCUUGCCAAAACUUUUGUCCAGCAUGGAGAGCAUUCAGCAGGCGCUAAAACUUACUGGGUGAUUUUUUUUCCUGCACCCAAGCAGUUUGCUAUGAAGUUCUACACUGAACAGCUUCCCUCUCUGUUGUAAGACAGAUGAGGUCACCAGAAUUACGGUAAAUACCGAGCCCAGAAAAACUGCAUUUCAUGUUGGUCCAUUGUGCUUUUUACUUGUUAAUUCUGCUCAUGUAGGUGACAGUGACUAUUGAAUAAUUUCAAGACUCUGCAGACACAGACUAAUCAAAAGCUUGUAGAAAUCUGUCAGAAGCAUCCUACUGAUGCCUUGGGCCCCUAUCGUACCCUAUGUAAUUACACCCUGUUUGGAACAUUCAAAGCCAGCUAGUAAGGAGAAAGCAAGAAUGCACCUGAAUAAAGAAACACACAAUCUGUUUAUUUUCUUCCUUCUGUCCUUGUAUCAUAUUCAUUUGUUAAUGGGUAAAAUAUUUUUGCAGUCCCUUAAAUUCCACAUUCUGUGUUUCUUAAAUUUUUUUAACUAUACGGUGCAGCCAGGUGGUGAACCAAUAACAUUUUUCACCUCAGUUGACACAAUUAAACACUAUGAUUUUCAACCACCGAGAAAAGUUGGCUGGUUGAGUAAGGGCAGUUUGACAACUGAGAUAUUUAUGUACAGCCAAAAUGAGAUAGUGCCCUAUAUUUUAAACAGUUCAAGUCAGAGGAGAAAAAUGUAAAAUUGGUUCCUAGAUAAUAAUGCCUAAUCUUUGUUUUUAUGGCACAUUGCUGUGCAAUUAAGGUUGGCUCGUGAAAGCUGUGCGUGAGCACACUUAAAUUGCUGAAUAGCCUCAUAGAUGGCAGGAAGGAAAAUAAAUAUUCUACUGUUUAUACUUUCUGAAGUAAAAUCUUCGAGAUAAACAGUGUGUCAGGCUGACAGGUGUGACUACUUUAGCCUUCGCCUGAUGAAUUUUUCAUUCACAGCUGAGGCUGAUAGCCUGAAACUGUUGAUGGAAAAAACCCACUGUUCAGAUUUUGAUAGGAAUAUGAAUGUCUGGGUCUUAGAAGGGUCUGACUUCUGUGCAAAGAAUUACAGACACUCUGUUGUGCAGGCACGGAGGAAGGACUGGGCUGCAGCCACGCUGCAUCGGGCUGGUGUUUCACUCAAGAUGAUAACUGAGAGGAUCAAUUCCCCCCCUGGAAGUUCGUUUCUACUUAGAAGAGCAACUUUGUAAAAAAAUCUUCUUCCUGUGAGUAUUCAGUACCUACGGUGCUUACUCCAGCAACCAUAUGUGCAUUAAUUUUUGCUGCUGAUAGCACUGAAGAGCCAAUGGAGUCAUGAGCGUCAAUUCCAAAACACAAAGAAAAGGGGAUCGCAACCAAGAACAGACUGUGACCAGCAGACUCCUUACUGCCGGUGGCAAUGCUCUGCCAGCACAACUGGCAGUGCCAGCAGUAAGUAUAGGGAACGAAACAGAAAUCCUCUAGCCUUCUCCAUUUACCGCAUUUAAUCUGGGCUUGGCAAAGCCCAGUCAGCACAGAACUCCACAUUGCUAUUUUGUUUUCCAAAAGACCUGCUGUUCUGUCCACAGCACAACACAGCAGACAUAUAUAGCACUUCUAGAAGGGUGUACAUUUUAUCGUUGCUUUUUUUAAGACUGAGCUCUGUUUUCUUCUUCCUACCUGAAUUUUUCCUAAAGAUGAAUCUGCAUAAUAUCUCCUUUGAUUUGCUUGCUCAUUUCCUUAAAAACAUUAAUUAAAAUAAACAACCAGGAGGAAAGAGAUGGUGUGUCUCUAUAAGGUUAUUUGCAUAAGAUAUACUAUGCUAUAAAUCUACAUGCAUGGAACAGUCAAAAAGGCUAAAGUUCAAUUUCAAGUCCCAUGCCACAAGGAAAUGAAAUCGCAGUGUUAGUUACGUUUCCCCAAAUGAGAAAAUAUUAGGUACAAAGAGAUGCAGAGAGAGGGGGAGAAUUAAAGACACUGUUUUGCUUUCCAGAGCCAGGGAGCACCCAGCUGAGCGGGACGGGGGGAGAAGAGCUCGGAGCUGGGCACGAGGCACGGCACGGCUGGCAGCCCUGCAGUUUUCCUGCUGCCAUGAGGGCGUUCCCAGAACGUCUGAAAGCAAAACUUGGCGAGCGGUAUGGGAGCUGGAUGGAAAGGGAGAAAGACUGGGAUUAAAAAUGAUCACUUUCCAGAAAUGAAAACAAAAACCAGCCACCAAUUUCUCC